ensembl:lncRNA
AUGAUGCACUUUAAUUAUAUGUUUUGGUGGCGCCACUUUGACCGAUCCAAGAUGGCGGCACCACCGCUCAUCAGCGCUUACCCCAAAAUUCCGCUCCGCCCCCGCCUUCCGCAGCCGCUCACUUCCGAACUCAAUUUUUACUGGUACCCGGUCUACAACGGCUCCGCUCCGGUGCGGAGACCUGAGGUGGGCAAACAAGCAUGCGCGGGAUUUUCAAGAUCUUGCGAUACAGUCCGAGCAAUAAACGCGGAAGUUAGAUCCAAACACCCGUUGUGUGGGAGAAGCAUCGGCAUGAACUGUUUAAUCUGCCCAUCAUUUGUGUUGAGAGAUCAGCAGUGUUUGGAUCAACAAAGUGUGACUACUUUGAUAGUGGAAACUGUAUUUAUGGCUUACUUUUGUGCAUUUAAACUUCAGCCGCCAUCGAUAGUAGAAACUGUAUUUAUGGCUUACUUUUGUGCAUUUAAACUUCAGCCGCCAUUGAUAGUUGUUAAAAGUUGUUAAACCUGUGCAUAUGAAACAAAAAACGCCUUUUGUUUAUCAAUUGAUUGUGAAAUAACGGAAGUUGUGCUUGCUCCCUUUCCUGUUGGGCGGUUGUGAUUUCUGUCCCUUGACUGCGGAGGUGCUCCGGCGUCCGGCAAAAAUAGAAUCGAUCCUACUUUUGCCGGAUGGCGGAACGGUGGGCGCCGCACGGCCACAAUAGUGGAACAGCUCUGAUUGACUAAACGGGACCGUUUUUGCUGCGGAGUUCGUACCGGAGCGGAGAUAGUGGAGUUUUGGGGUAAGAGUCACAGAACGUUGCGCGCUAGGAUGAUGUCGACGAAAAAGCAACCAAAACAAAGCGGAGACUCACCUCUUACAUCAGGAAGAACGCGCGUUUCAAGCUUUAUCCGUUCUUUCAUAAUCCGUUGUUGAAUUGUGAUCGGCAGAAGCUUUUCCGGUUCGCACCACACUUUUUUUACAGCAGCGGCCCAAAACGAUCUCCUGACACAUGGAUUUUCUGCUUCCUGAUCACGUGACGUGACGUAUGCAGGUGAAGAUCGGCUUUAGAGCUGGGAUGUUUGUUCUCUCGGCGCGGGGGCUCGUUCCGAUGCCCAAACAGUAAAAAAAAUGCAAAUGGCGACUUUAGUCGUCAUUAGCACUGAACGGUUGGAUCUAAAAUGACGACUUUAGUCAUCAAUGGCAGUGAAUGAGUUAAAGGUAGACUAUGGAACACUCUGGCAAACUCUAGUGUUCAGAGGUGGUAUAGCACCAACAGGACUAAUUUUCCAUCAGUUGGCAUGCUGGUUCACUGCUGACACGUUCCAGCAGCAUGUUCAGAGACAAGUCGUACAGAACAAGGACUCAUUUCUACUCUAAACUUUUUUACUGUUAGAACAUCUUCUGGGCUCAGAAUCAGCUGCUUGACUUGUCAAGUCCUCUAUAUUCCACAGUCCCAACCUCGCCUUGCUGAGCAGACUUUUUAGUGCAAUGGUGCCCUCUAGUGGCUGGUAGAUGUAAACAAAAACGCAGUGUCGUGCCGACAACAUAAAUUAGAUUCUGUCUUAAAUACAGCUUUUAAAGGAGAAACUGUACAUUUACCUCUGAAUACCCUAUAGAGGUUUUAUUUUUUUAAAUAUAACUUGUUAUUCAAAUGUUCCACAUUCCAACUUUAACAAAUAUAUUAAGUUCAUUCAGAAGACUUGGUACGUCCACUGCUGGCCCCAACUAAAUUUGUUCAAGGGUUGGAGUUUUUCCCAACAGACAUUGAGGGCCAGGUGCUCUUCUAAAAAACGGUUAAUUUAUUAACUUAUUACCAUUUAAAGUCCCACUCUAAUAAUCUUUUUAGCACACUGAGUUGCGUUUACAGGGUAUAUACAGCAAUCCUUAAGUAAAAUUUACUACUUUUUAAUACUUUUUUUACUACCUUAAGAAUUUUUUUUAAACCAUCACAACACUAAAUUGCAAGUGUUAAUCAGCGACCUAUUUACACAUAUUUUAACAUAUAUAACAUACAAAAAGAAUAGACUUAGAGACUCAAUGAUGUUGACAACGUAUUGCACAUAUUUAUUUUACUUAGAAAAUAAGCCAGGCACUUCUGUUCAGCGGUUCAGACAGUUGACCACGAGGCCUGAAAUGAUGCA